ACAGCCGCCGCGGUAAUACGGAGGGUGCAAGCGUUAUCCGGAAUCACUGGGUUUAAAGGGUGCGUAGGCGGUUUGAUAAGUCAGAGGUGAAAGCUAGCAGCUUAACUGUUAAAUUGCCUUUGAUACUGUCAGACUUGAAUCAAGUUGAGGUAGGCGGAAUGUGACAUGUAGCGGUGAAAUGCAUAGAUAUGUCAUAGAACACCAAUUGCGUAGGCAGCUUGCUGGGCUUGAAUUGACGCUGAGGCACGAAAGCGUGGGGAUCAAACAGGAUUAGAUACCCUGGUAGUCCACGCCCUAAACGAUGUUAACUCGAUAUUUAUUCUUCGGAGUGAGUGUCCAAGCGAAAGCGUUAAGUUAACCACCUGGGGAGUACGUUCGCAAGAAUGAAACUUAAAGGAAUUGGCGGGGGAU
rnacentral:rRNA from 1 species